GACGAACGCUGGCGGCGUGCCUAAUACAUGCAAGUCGAACGCAGUGGGGACGGGUGAGUAACACGUGGGUAACCUCCCAUCAGAGGGGAUAACACUUGGAAACAGGUGCUAAACCGCUACUGAUGGAUGGACCCGCUGUGCAUUAGCUAGUUGGUGGGGUAACGGCUAACCAAGGCCACGAUGCAUAACCGGCCUGAGAGGAUGAGCAGCCACACUGGGACUGAGACACGGCCCAGACUCCUACGGGAGGCAGCAGUAGGGAAUCUUCGGCAAUGGACGAAAGCCUGACCGAGCCACGCCGCGUGAGUGAAGAAGGUUUUCGGAUCGUAAAGCUCUGUUGUUGGAGAAGCGGUACCUAAACAGAAAGCAACGGCUAACUACGUGCCAGCAGCCGCGGUAAUAC
rnacentral:rRNA from 1 species